GCCGCCUCGGUCAUAAGCAGGGGAUAGGCCAACUUGAAGCCUUCAGGAAACAAGUCUUUGGCUUUUUGCUGUGUUUUAUAUGUAUUUUGAAAAGAAUGUUUUAAAUACUAGUGUUCUUUAAAUGGCACAUGUCUUUGUUUUGACAACUUACAGUUUUUACUGUAUGUUUAAGCAUAUUUACUCAGAAGUCCCAUUCAUCUUACUGAGAUCUACUCCUUAGUAAGCAUGUUUAGGACUACAGCCUUAGGUCCAUACAUUUGGUUGGAAAGCCAGAACUCACUGGAACUCAGUCCCGGCACCUCUCAGGUGGGCACCAUUGCCAUUAUAAGAAAAUAAAGGAGGCUUUAAUGUGGCUGGUAGAACAGUGUCUUUGGCAAGCUUUAGGCAGUGGAUCACAGACCACAGCUACUGCCCCUACAUUCCUUGAAUGUUUCCAUACAUUGUGUUGGUGAGGCAGAAGUCGUUCUUCAUUCCAGUCUUCAUUCCAGCUGCUCAAAUAACCUCCUUUAUUAACAUGAACUUUGCUGUUAGACUGUACUUCUCACCAUUAAUGUAGUGUCGCCCCCCCUCCAUUAUUACUGUGCUGGGGAGAAGCUAAACUGAGAUCUGCAAGGCCAUUAAACCAUGAAGACUGAUCAAUGAACUCAGGACUGACCACCCUCCACUUUCACUUCAGAAGCACAAGGAAUUGUUUUGUUUUAAAGAAUCUUAUUUACAAAUGGAUCAUUUUACAGGAAUACAGUUCAAUGUGGCCUUACAGAGAAUAAAUAAAGAAAAAACUAUA